UACAGAGGGUGCAAGCGUUAAUCGGAAUUACUGGGCGUAAAGCGUGCGUAGACGGUUACAUAAGUCGGGUGUGAAAGCCCCGGGCUCAACCUGGGAACUGCAUUUGUGACUGCAUCGCUGGAGUGCGGCAGAGGGGGAUGGAAUUCCGCGUGUAGCAGUGAAAUGCGUAGAUAUGCGGAGGAACACCGAUGGCGAAGGCAAUCCCCUGGGCCUGCACUGACGCUCAUGCACGAAAGCGUGGGGAGCAAACAGG
rnacentral:rRNA from 1 species